GCCAUCACAAAAUACUUUGGUUUGUAGAUCCACUUUUGGCCCGUCUCUGACCCUUGUUUGCAGGACAGCGUCUUCUUGCUGUGAACAAACAUGGCCUCCGAGUCUUGACACUUCCGAGCUCCUGGCUCAGCUGAGGUGUUCUUCUGUGAGGAAAAGGCGUUAAGGGUGCUUUGGAAAGAGCCGUGGGGCUCUCUGCCCUGCUGCAGAGGAGGGGCUGGCCCAGCUUGGCACCCCACUCCAUCUGGCCUUGUCCAAGGACCCAGCCCGCUUGGAAGCCACCCGCAGGGCCUGGGUGGUGGACCAUCAUGGAUUUUUACUGGGCCUUUAGAGCCCUGUGCAUAUUUCGGACACCUGCACAAGGGCCUCCACGAUGGGAAAUUUGCACAUUGCAGCACUUGCCCAACUGAGUAUGACAGCCCCAGACUUGGUGGAAUGAAGAUUACAAUGUGAAAAGGACAAGCAGGACAAACAAAACAAAAGAAGACAAAUCCUACACUGUUGGGAGGAGAAGACACAAUGAUUCCAAAGGCCUCCCCCACCCAAUGUCUUCUGCUCGCCGAAACGGGGUGCCUAUGAUGAAGGGUAGCGGACACUUGCGUAACUGGCCCCUCUCUCUUGGGGAAGGACGGGAAGCCCAGAGAGGUGGUGUUCCGUCCAGUUACCAGACAACUCGAUGCCAUUUCUUCUCUUUUCAGAUGUCCCGUGUGCAGAGGGGUUUAGUAGAAAACGUUUUGGCCUGAAAAUGAAGGUGGGGUUGUUUGUGGACCCCUCCGUUCGAGUUCUCGUGAGUUAUUAGCUUGGAGCGGACAUCAGGAUAGGUGUCUGCUCCUCGGCUAUGAGAGAAACAGUGGAAAGUUGCACUUCUCCACUUCUGUCAACCUAGUCGUACUUCACCAAAUGAACAGCCAGUAACUUGGGAAUAUGUGAAAAGACGCUCCUCUUCACCGAUUUAUGUUGGCCAGGACGAGCCAGCUUGGCCAUCCAUCUGCAGGACUGACAAGACUGUGAAGAAAUACGGUUCUCAAACACUCGUGGUCGUGGUCCCCAGACUUGUGUAAAUUGGUCCAGAUUUAACUUUCUUUGGUGGCGAUUUUACGUUCAAUAUCCAUAUCAUAAGUGAGUAUAUUUUGAGGCUUCCAUUUCUAAUUCUGGAGAUUUAUCCUGCAAAUAGACUCUGGCAAUGCGAGCAAAGGUGGGUGAGCAAGGUUGCUCACUUACAGCAAGAUUCGUAAUGUGAUAAACUAGAAGCUUGGUAGGUAAAUUAUGAUACAUCAUAUAACGGAAUAUUAUACUGCCCUCAAAAUGAGUAAGGCACAUUUUGUGUGGAAAAUAGGACAUGGUACAUGAUCUGAUUUGAACAAAAAGACAAAAACUCGUGAUGAUGAUAGACAUUUAUUCUUUGCAAAGAGGUAUUUAUAUGUGUUUGUGUAGAUGAAAAAUUUCUGGGUGGAUGUAUAGAAGACUAUAGACAGUGGUUACAUCUGGAGAGUGUGGGGCUCUAUGAAAUGGUGGGAAGUUUCCCGGAGAUUGUAUAAGCUGCUGUAGUGACCAAAUUUGUUCACUAUGGGCACAUGAGAUUUUCGUUUUAAAAAGGCAGCCCCGGGGGCCUGGGUGGCUCAGUCAGUUAAGCAUCUGCUUUCGGCUCAGGUCAUGAU